UACAGAGGUCUCAAGCGUUGUCCGGAUUUAUUGGGCGUAAAGAGCGUGUAGGCGGCUUGGUAGGUCUCGCGUCAAAACCUGAGGCUCAACCUCAGUUCGCGCGGGAAACCACCUAGCUAGAGUCCGGAAGAGGAGAACGGAAUUCCCAGUGUAGCGGUGAAAUGCGCAGAUAUUGGGAAGAACACCAGUGGCGAAGGCGGUUCUCUGGGACGGUACUGACGCUGAGACGCGAAAGCGUGGGGAGCGAACAGG
rnacentral:rRNA from 1 species